rnacentral:rRNA from 1 species
GAUGAACGCUGGCGGCGUGCCUAAUACAUGCAAGUCGAGCGAACAGACGAGGAGCUUGCUCCUCUGACGUUAGCGGCGGACGGGUGAGUAACACGUGGAUAACCUACCUAUAAGACUGGGAUAACUUCGGGAAACCGGAGCUAAUACCGGAUAAUAUAUUGAACCGCAUGGUUCAAUAGUGAAAGACGGUUUUGCUGUCACUUCUAGAUGGAUCUGCGCCGCAUUAGCUAGUUGGUAAGGUAACGGCUUACCAAGGCAACGAUGCGUAGCCGACCUAAGAGGGUGAUCGGCCACACGGGAACUGGAACACGGUCCAGACUCCUACGGGAGGCAGCAGUAGGGAAUCUUCCGCAAUGGGCGAAAGCCUGACGGAGCAACGCCGCGUGAGUGAUGAAGGUCUUCGGUUCGUAAAACUCUGUUAUGAGGGAAGAACAAAUGUGUAAGUAACUAUGCACGUCUUGACGGUACCUAAUCAGAAAGCCACGGCUAACUACGUG